GUGCUGAUGUAUGGACAGCCGUAUCGUGUUACCUUAGAGCUUGAGCUGCCAGAGUCCCCUGUGAAUCAAGAUUUGGGCAUGUUCUUGGUCACCAUUUCCUGCUACACCAGAGGUGGCCGAAUCAUCUCCACUUCUUCGCGUUCGUAUGUGCCGACCACUGGAGCGAUCAUUGAGAUCCACAGCAAGCGCAUCCAGCUGUAUGGAGCCUACCUCCGCAUCCACGCGCACUUCACUGGGCUCAGAUACCUGCUAUACAACUUCCCGAUGACCUGCGCCUUCAUAGGUGUCGCCAGCAACUUCACCUUCCUCAGCGUCAUCGUGCUCUUCA
rnacentral:sRNA from 1 species